UGGAAGAACCCACGCUUACAUAUUCACCUAGUUUAGGAUUAAUACAAGAAGACAAGCUAACAGAAAUGAUGAAAAUCAUGAAGAAAUAAUAGAGGCGGCAAAUUAGAUAAUUUUAAAAUACCCUCUAGAGUGUGGACUAGUGAAAAGAAAGACUUUUAGAAAGAGAAACAUAAACACAGCACCGUCGUUUUUUGGCUCUUGCUGGUGGCUCCAAUACAGGCUCCGUGCCUUUAGUUUUUUCUAGUUUUUGCCAGUUUCGUUCUUCGGAUCCGGUUGCCAUUUUGUUUUGCUUUUCGGUGACUCACGGCUGCAAUUAUCCAUCUUAAAAAAAUUU
rnacentral:lncRNA from 1 species